UGAAUCUGUCUUAGAGCAUCAGUAACCACCAUCUUGUUUGAUCCUAGAGGGUAAGCAGGGUCAGGCCUGCUUUGUAUUUGGAUGGAAGACUGCCGGUAUCUAAAAGUUACAGAUUUGA
rnacentral:rRNA from 14 species